rnacentral:rRNA from 1 species
GACAGAGGUGCCAAGCGUUAGGCGGAAUCACUGGGCUUAAAGCGUGUGUAGGCGGAUGCCUAAGUACCUUGUGAAAUCCCACGGCUCAACCGUGGAACUGCUUGGUAUACUGGGUGUCUUGAGCCACUUAGGGGCUACCGGAACAAAUGGUGGAGCGGUGAAAUGCGUAGAUAUCAUUUGGAACGCCAAUGGUGAAAACAGGUAGCUGGGAGUGUGCUGACGCUGAGACACGAAAGCCAGGGGAGCGAACGGG